AUUGAACGCUGGCGGCAGGCCUAACACAUGCAAGUCGAGCGAGCGGCGGACGGGUGAGUAAUGUAUGGGGACUGCCCGAUAGAGGGGGGUAACUACUGGAAACGGUAGCUAAUACCGCAUACUAUCGGAUAACCCAUAUGGGAUUAGCUAGUAGGUGAGGUAAUGGCUCACCUAGGCGACGAUCCCUAGCUGGUCUGAGAGGAUGAUCAGCAACACUGGGACUGAAAAACGGCCCAGACUCCAACGGGGGCAGCAGUGGGGAAUAUUGCACAAGGGGCGCAAGCCUGAUGCAGACAUGCCGCGUGUAUGAUGAAGGCCUUCGGGUUGUAAAGUACUUUUGGCAGAGAAGCGGUAUCUGCAGAAUAAGCACCGGCUAACUACGUGCCAGCAGCGCGGUAAUAC
rnacentral:rRNA from 1 species